GAAGCUGAGAAACGCGAGGGGACGAAGGCGAGCAGGUACAUGGUAGCCUUCCUCGGCGUCGUGCCGCGUGGUGUGUAUGCGUUGAGAAAGCGUCAGACAUCCUCGAAAGAAGGAGGAAGAAAGAAAAAGACAAAAGGAGAGAGAAAAGAGAAAGAGAGAGAGAGAGAGAGAGAGAGAUUAAAGGACUUUACCCACAAACUCGCGCUUUUACACUUGCGAGUGAUGAUAAGUCGCAUUUGUCGAAGAAAUUCUCGAAAACACGUCUUGCGAUGCGAAAAGCGAGCGAGCGAGAGAGAGAGAGGGAGAGAGAAAGAAAGAGAGAAUCCUUUUAACUUCCGGCGAAGGAACGCGCGCCGACGAGAUCGAAUAUCGUAUGUGUUCGCCGAGAGAGAGAGAGAGAGAGAAGAGCGCGCCGUAUCGGAAUAGCAUGCGUGGAAAUGGUGGCUGGUCGGAUUGAGAAGCGGUCAUGGAGAAAGGGAGAGAAUAGAGGAGAGAGACUGAGAAAGAUAAAGAAAGAGAGAGAAAGAGAUGGAGCAGGGAGGGAGGAGGAACUCUCGAACGUUGUAACAGGUGCCCCCACCCUCUCUCUCCCUCUCUCCCACUCACCCUCCCGUCCUCAGCCCUCUCCGUCCAACCGGCUCUACGUCGCGGCGCCAUGUCACUCUUUCUCUCUCUGUCACUCUGUAUAUCUUAUAACAUUUCCUAUCCCCGACGCCCCCGUCUUCUCGCCGCACUACUUAGCCUCUUUUACGUAAGCUAGCAAACUGACCUGGCUCAACUAUUCGGCCGUAGUAUGCCACGGUUCCUAAGCUCUUCUCGGUCGCUUCUCAUUUCCUCUCCUCUCCCUCCUUCCCACCCUUUCUCUCUCGCUCGUAACCGCUUUGUUACCGUGUUCGCCCGAAUUCACGGAUUACGGUGCACAAAACAGCUCGUAAAUGUACCGCAACGUUUACCAGAUUUAGCGUCGUUGAGUGUUUCCGGGUGGAACCCGCGCCGCGACUUGGCGAGACAAAGGGCAGGAGAAAGCGAGGAAGAGCGAAUCACGCGUCGAAGGUUAAAAUCAAUCCUCGAGUCUGCGUCCGCUGUCAUUGUUUGUUUGGCCGACUUCGUGAAAGAGAGCGGCUCCGACGACCGCGAAACGCCGGCCGGCGUGACGAAACUUGAUCGAGUAACGUGUACGAUUUUUGUUUUCGGUGUCUACCAUCAUGUGUACCCGUGGUACAGCAACGGUGCUGGGUGAAUAGAUAAGUUAGCCGGGCAGCUAGAUGGCGCGACUCGGCGCCGCGUAUCUGUCGUCACGAUCUCGCGCGAGACUCGCGAACGCGACCGGCGAUUCUCGUUUUGUCGUCGGAUUUGAAAUCGACCAGGGGCCUUGUGCCAGAGACGCAUAGCGAACGCUGAGAAUAUGUCCUUUUAAUUCCACGUUCUGUUUUGCUUACACGCUGAGAGAAAUCCCCAGACGAAAUUUUGGCCCUUACGUUAAACCUUUAGUUCUACAACACAGCAGGAGUUAAGGUAACAAAAGAGGUUCCACUUCACAAUAUAUUUUACUCCUACCUUGACCCCGAUAUCUUAAGUUUCGUUGUUUUCAUAUAAAAAUAGGUCUGUUCAAGAUAGCGUUAUAAUUGAAUCUAUGCGUUAAAAAAAAAUAUAUAUAUGGUAUUUGUCUAUAAUCUCACAAAUAAAUAACUUGUUAAGAGGAACUAUUUUGGUAAUACGUGUUUCUGUAGGUUCAGUGAUAACAACACUCUACAUAAAUAUCUACUAUUACUAUUUUUAGGUUAAAACCGGAAGAAGAUAUAGGUGAGGCCAAAAAUGAUUAUAAUUUUAGUGGAAUUUUUCUCCAUGUAAAAUUGAAGAUUCAAGACAGAAGUUAAUAAGAAUAUUAAUAUUGUCACUAUAGAUUUUUAUCAGUCUACAAGCUGUUCAAAGAGGCAUAAACUCAUCUUAAGAGCAUCAAAAUGGUAUUAUAAUUUCGACUCAGGAUCUCACUAAAAUUAUAGUCAUUUUCGGCUUUAACUAUACUUCCUUCUGGUUUAAAAUUGAACAAAAAAGCAAUAUGUAAGAUGUAUUCACUAAGAUGUAUAUCACUGACACUAUACAGUAUUGCUCACUAGAAAAAUAGUGCUCUUGACUAUAAUUUUUUCAUUUAUGCGAUUACAGGUAUCAAAAAUGUGUCUCUCAAUGUACAAGCGUCACAAUAGAAAGUUGUUCCAACUGAAGAAUCAGAAGGGCAUAUUUAAGGGAAUUCGACAUUCAGAAUAUUUCAGAGAUGACUAGAUAUGAGCGACCGUCGAUUUUCGCACCGACCAAUGGUUCGAUCAAGAUGGAAGAGAGAAAGAAAGCGCGCGGAAUCUCAACCGCAAGUCCAACACGCACACACGCACGACAAGGGCAGUCGGUGUAUAUUUGCUUGCAAAACGGUUCAGACACAAUGAAGUUGGGAGCGCAGCAAACUGUCACGAUUGAGAGUCACUUCUGACGAAGGAACCGAGAUGCACAGAGAGAAAUCCCAUUAAGGGGAUGCCAAAGUCGAUAACGAACUUGAUAAGCAUCGAUAAUGUAGAGGCGAUCUUCAGAAUGUUAUGUUAAAUAAACAGUAACAUGAUCACAUUAUUAUUCUUGUGUAUAUAGAUCUUAUGUAAAUGUAAAGUGCAAUAUCAACGUGAACGCGAUGAAUGUGUGCUACACUAUGUCUUACCACGUUUAACGUAAGACUUUAUCAAGAUAUAUCAAAAUUUUCCGACAACUUUCUAUAUUUUUUUAAGCCUCUAAAUUGGAUUGGAAAGAUAUAAAAAUGUUCUUUGAAAUUUUCCUCAUUGGAGCAUUGACAUAUUCGGUACAAGCUGCGAGAUUUUUGUAUCAGGUAAAUAUUGAUGCUGACAGCUAGAGAUGUCAAUUUUAAAAUUGUUACUCAUUUUCGUCACAUAUCGAGCAAUGCUCCAAUUUAUUUUCGCGCGUAUUUUCACUGUGUAAAGACAUUUAUGUAAUCCUGUACAACCAAUAAGACAUGAACUCGGCAAGAAAAUCAAUAUCCUGUCGGUAAAGUUUUCAAGUAUGGCAUCCUCUUAAAGUAAUAGUUAUUUCCGGCCUUAACUAUAUCUUCUUAUGGUUUAAACACAAAAGUAGUAACGAUAUGUAUACAAGAUUAUUAUCACUGACACUAUACAUAGUAACAUUUACUAGAAAAAUGUUUCUCCUGACUAAAAUUCUUUUGGUGUAAAUCAAACAUAAUUUAUGUUUGUUUGUAGUGUAAGAGAGACUUAAUUUGUUUAUGUAGAUAUAGGACGAAAAAUUAUCGCUAUCACGCAUACGUAACGUUGAUCUUGUUAGUAUCGGUAUGUUAUACAUGGACACGUUUGGCAGCGAACUCGUUAAUUUUUCCUAGAAGUUCUCCGGAUAAUACAGAUAAUCAUUUUUCCUUAGCGCAAAUGUCGAGACAUCAUUAUAGUUUCCGAACGAUCGAAGAAGCGGGGCUCUUCGCGCACCAAACUUCGGACGAUCAAAGAGAAAAUAAAAUGAUUUUCCGCGAACAAUUUCAAGUGGACUUCGCUUUAACAGAAUUUUAAUUUGAAACUCAACUACGCACACACACCCACACACGAAGAUGUCCUACAUUGAACAUUGAAAAGUCGCUAUAAAUAAUAAUCUUCCUCGAUAUUUUUGCUGAAAAAAAAUGUUCAAAAAACCUUUUGGUAAAAUUAAUGUCGCUAAUUCUAAGACAUCCUGUAUGUGUAUAUUUUUGUAUACUGUAUGUACUGGAAAAAAAUAUAAAUUUUGAUGAGAAAUUCUAGAAUAUGAUGCAAUUCUUCAUAUUUUAAAGCUAUUACAUACUGAUCUAUGUACGUUACUGUCGUCAGCGGCUAAUGAAUCCGAAACGAUAUAUUUAUCGACUAAUGUUAACAUCGCGUGUCCUUAUAAACGUUUUUUCUCCAAUCUUAUAUCUAAUACUGCGCGCAACAUGUCAAACUGGGACUCGUUGCU